CUGGUUUUCGGAAUAAUACAUCUAGCAUCUUCAAAAUGCGACCACUGAAAAAAACAGGAGAGACAAAUUGAGUAGCUCCCAGGCUGAGGACUGGAAACAGUGCUGAGGUUGAGGACAGCCAGGCUACUGACAGCAAGCACAGAAGGUGCGGGGCAGAGGAGAGUCAACAGAUUUUUCUCUUUUGCUGUAGGUCUUUUUAUGCAUGAUUUUCAGACCUCAGGGAUUUGUCUUCUAUCUUCUGCUUGUGGGAAGCGCUGCACCAGAACAUUGCUGUGGGUCUGUUCAGCCUGAAGGGCCACAGGCCGAGGAGACAGGCCAACUCUAGCCCCGGCAAGCAUGUCAGAGAAGCCGACUUGGCCUCCAGCACAGCACCCUGGGCCAGGAGCACAUUCUGGGUG
rnacentral:lncRNA from 1 species